UUCCUAAUGGUGAGAACCUUUAAGACAGU
rnacentral:piRNA from 1 species